rnacentral:rRNA from 1 species
CAGCAGCGGGACCCGCGCUACGGGAUCUACUGCUCGAGAGGUAACAUCGGGGUUAGGACCAGCAGCGACAAGAGUGCCGGCCACUCGCUCUACCGGAGUAGCAGCGGCCUCGAGUGUAGGCAAAGGUAAUCUAAUAAUUAAUUGAUUAAAAUUUUACCAAAGUCAGCUAUUAACACGUGGCCCCCCGCUACGUUCCGUCGGUAAGCAAGCCUGUCGUAGAUGGCCGCGGCGACGGGUGGGCGGUGGCCAUGUUUUAAUUCAAACAGGAGAUGCUUAGUCACGUUUUGGUUUCAAACCUGCGCUGGCGCACCACACCGGCAGCUGCACUGGAGCCCCACGGGUGGGUCGGUGGGCGAGGAGCAGAUGAAGCCGCGUUGCACAGCCCCCUGCCUCUCCGCACCACCGCGCCCCGGUUGCGCGCGCUCGCAUGAGCUCUCUCUCCUUUUAUGGUUACACACGCGCGCCCACGAUUGGGAUGGACACUUAACUGGCUCCCGAGACGGGGUCCGGGUCCUCGGCGGAGGGGGUAGAAAGGCAGGACUGUGUCCGCCUAGACCUAGUCCGAAGGGAGUAGGGGAUGGGAGCAAGUAGGAGGACGGCCGCCGGUACCGCGGCGCGGGCGGCGAGCAGGCCGGCGGGAAGAGCGGAGCUGGGCGAUGGGUACGGGAAGACCGCGGGGAGACAUUAGCCGUCAACUACGUGCGCUCUGCGCAGGUACCUUAGUACGGCGAGCGGCUGCCGUCUAGCUCGCGGCAGCAGCUAGGCGCUCGAGGCACGGCAAAGGACCGCCGGUUCUCGUGGAAGGCGGUUGCCGGUCGUCACGUACGUUAGCGGCCGAACCUAUAAAGUAGGUCGACUGACGCGGCACAUCCAGAGAUUCGAACGUACCACAAAGGAUCGAGACCUCUAGCUGUUUAGGUAGACGCUGCUCCUCGAUUAACGUAUGGGUAGGUGGCUAAAAUAGGAGACGUCGGGCGAACGAUAAAUCUCAAGUACGACGAGGAGAGACGGUACGGUGGCAUCGUCACCUUCUCUCUAUGGGUUUCCUCUCGCGCUCGUGCCACCGUAGUUUAUACAGCUACUUGUUUCCUAUAUAGGUACCAUCAAACCAACAGUGGACAGCCACUCGAGAUCUGCCCUUCACUGAAAGCUGUUCCACACGUCAAUAGCAGCCAUCCCCCCUUCGAGCAGAGGUACCAUCGGCCGCCACGAGUACCGCCAGGCACGGCAAAGGGGAGCAGCAGGCCACUCUUUGUAGAAAACGGCUGCCGGUUUCCACGUACCGACCGUACCGACGGGAAAAGCAUCGGUAUAUUAGCCAUCGUCGCGGACUGAACUGUGUAGAUAGAUAGGUAGGAGCUCGGAGAUGUUGGUCCCCCAGUACUGUUAAACCGCGGCAUCGCCACCCUCUCGUUAUGUUCUUCCUCCAACGUGCCACCCUAGUUACAGCUGCGUUUGCUCGAUAUACUACGGGAAAAACAAUUAAAGAUUUCAUCACCAACAGGCGCUCGAGGUCUGCUCUUCAUUGAACGAUGUUCUUUGUUACCUCGUGCCUGCUCUACUCGUUCGUCUUCUACACAACCCCCUGUAUUAGAAUCGGCCUCCACUAUAGAACAGCAUAGAAUUGCUGUUACUACCAGACCUUCUUGUCCCACUUCUUCGUCCGACGCCACUAGCUUCUCACCUCCUCCUUUCUGUACUAAUACUACCGAGGCCACUGGGUUACGACCACGUUCUUCCUCGGGCACCACUGCCGAGGCCACUGGCUUGUCUCAGGCCGGUCGGGAGGUCUAGCUCGUGUUGACGCCAUUUCUCUGCUCCGGGCUUCUCUUUCAACGCGAGCCUACUUUCCAAACUCUAGUGUCGUUAGCGCGCGCUGCCGGUUGGCUAUCUUGGGGAGGCCUGUUUCCUACGAAAACGACGAGUCACGCCCCAAGAUCAAUCCCUGUUCUAGGGCUAGUCGUAGGUGGUUACCACAUUCGGAUUCUUCCUUCUGGGACUCCACAGAAUACAGUUACUAUACGUCUUUCUACUAGAAACCUGACUCGACUUCCGUUUAAAGUGGGAUGGCGGUCUCCUCCUAGGCCUCUUCGGUCAAUAUCUCGUUAAUUAGUUCAGAGUACGAGAAUUCUUCUACCGUCUGGAUAAGUCCUCCACCUUCUAACUCGACUUUUACAAACAGCUGUUUCUUCUCUGUGGACUUAAGUAGCCGGCCAUACUCUUCUAGUCUCUAGUGACCUGGCGUAUACACCGGGUGUUCUGUAGCCUUUUCUCAUUCUUCUACAGUCGCUGUUUGUUCUACUUACGACGCUUCUUCUUCGAAGUGGUAGCGUGCCCCAGUCCACCGAUGGAGUUUCGGGCCGGAUUCACCCGGCUCAGACUCUCCCUAGACGAACUAUUUCCCUAGCUUGGUGUCUGUUACUUGACCGGUCUGGCAACGGCCUGAACCAAGAAGCCCCGACCACCUUGGAACCUGGGACAUGUCCCUCCACAGCAACCUGCCUGCUCGUUGAACGUUAUGGCCAGUUCUUCUAAGUCGUGAUAUAGCUACGUCACGUCGUUCCCUGCAAGCAAGGUCUGUCUCUCUUGCUGCUCGAGUGUUACCGGGAGCCCUUAGGACUCGUGGGACCUGCCUGUGCUCCGUGCGGUCCGAGGCAAGGCACCUUCCGACCAAAAGGCCUGCGCCCGCCAAUGUUUUGGGUCCUCUCCUCCUUUUUUCACCUCGUAUAGGUUUAAGUCGCAGACGUGCUUUCCCAAGUUCACGAUC